rnacentral:tRNA from 1 species
CCGACCUUAGCUCAGUUGGCAGAGCGGAGGACUGUAGAUCCCUAGGUCGCUGGUUCGAAUCCGGCAGGUCGGA